AUUGAACGCUGGCGGCGUGCCUAACACAUGCAAGUCGAGCGAGAAAGCUCCUUCGGGAGUUAGUAAAGCGGCGAACGGGUGAGCAACACGUGAGAAUCUACCCUUUAGUGAAGAAUACCCUCGAGAAAUCGAGGCUAAUACUGCAUACGUCCCUUCGGGGAGAAAGAUGGCCUCUUUGCUAUCGCUAAAGGAUGAGCUUGCGUACUAUUAGCUAGUUGGCGGGGUAAAGGCCCACCAAGGCAAUGAUGGUUAACCGGCCUGAGAGGGUGUACGGUCACACUGGAACUUAGACACGGUCCAGACUCCUACGGGAGGCAGCAGUGAGGAAUCUUGCGCAAUGGGCGAAAGCCUGACGCAGCGACGCCGCGUGGAGGAUGACGGUUUUCGGAUUGUAAACUCCUGUUAAGCGGGAAGAAAGCCUUGUUUCUAAUACAAGCAAGGUAUGACGGUACCGCUAGAGAAAGCACCGGCUAACUUCGUGCCAGCAGCCGCGGUAAAGUCGUC
rnacentral:rRNA from 1 species